CGGCCCUACGGGACGCAGCAGUGGGGAAUAUUGGGCAAUGGGCGCAAGCCUGACCCAGCAACGCCGCGUGAAGGAAGAAGGCUUUCGGGUUGUAAACUUCUUUUCUCAGGGACGAACAGAUGACGGUACCUGGGGAAUAAGCCACGGCUAACUACGUGCCAGCAGCCGCGGUAAUACGUAGGUGGCAAGCGUUAUCCGGAUUUACUGGGUGUAAAGGGCGUGUAGGCGGGGACGCAAGUCAGAUGCGAAAACCACGGG
rnacentral:rRNA from 1 species